rnacentral:lncRNA from 1 species
UUCAGGGAACUAAGAAGAUGGAGAUUAGUUUCUACUCAAAGAGGGGGAGGUGGUAGACUGUGCAGGUAAGGAUCUCUUAAUUCAACAGUUAAGUACAAAAAUACCAAAGAGCAUGACUUUUGUGAUGAAGAUAAGGGCAGACUCAUAGCAGCUGUCUCCUUAAUGUCUCUGCUUGGGCAUUUGCAAAAUGCUCAAACUUUCCCUGCACCCCAGCUUCUUGCCCCCUUCCAGUCCACCCUCCACACAAAGUGACUUAAAAGAAGUACGGGUUUA